rnacentral:rRNA from 1 species
GACGAACGCUGGCGGCGUGCUUAACACAUGCAAGUCGAACGGAAAGGCCCCCAUCUUGGUGGGGGUGCUCGAGUGGCGAACGGGUGAGUAACACGUGGGUGAUCUGCCCUGUACUUCGGGAUAAGCUUGGGAAACUGGGUCUAAUACCGGAUAGGACCAUGGUUUAGUGUCUCAUGGUGGAAAGAUUAUUGUUUUGGUGCAGGAUGAGCUCGCGGCCUAUCAGCUUGUUGGUGGGGUAAUGGCCUACCAAGGCGUCGACGGGUAGCCGGCCUGAGAGGGUGGACGGCCACAUUGGGACUGAGAUACGGCCCAGACUCCUACGGGAGGCAGCAGUGGGGAAUAUUGCACAAUGGGCGCAAGCCUGAUGCAGCGACGCCGCGUGGGGGAUGACGGCCUUCGGGUUGUAAACUCCUUUCGUUAGGGACGAAGCCGCACCUUUUUUGGGUGUGGUGACGGUACCUUUGUUAAGAAGCACCGGCUAACUACGUG